AAAAUCUCAACUUUAUUAGAGGAGGCGCAUUUAUUAGAUAAAAGCCAAUGCAUGCUUUUACAGUAUGGAAAUUGGUGAUUUAUAAUAACUUAGCAAAUCGCAAAGUGAAAACAGGCGAUAAAUCAUUCAAGUUUCUGACCUAUCAGCUUUCGACGGUAUGGUAUUGGCUUACCGUGGCAGUGACGGUUAACGGGGGAUUAGGGUUCGAUUCCGGAGAGGGAGCCUGAGAAACGGCUACCACAUCUAAGGAAGGCAGCAGGCGCGCAAAUUACCCAAUUCUAACAGUUUGAGAGAGGUAGUAACAAGAAAUAACAAUACAAGGCAGUUAAAAUGCUUUGUAAUUGGAAUGAUAGAAAUUUAAACCCUUUUUAAAGUAUCAAUUGGAGGGCAAGUCUGGUGCCAGCAGCCGCGGUAAUUCCAGCUCCAAUAGCGUAUAUUAAAAUUGUUGCAGUUAAAAAGCUCGUAGUUGAAGUUCUGCUAAAAGUAACCGGUCUGCUUUUAAUAAAAGUGGUAUCUUGGUGUGUAUUUAGCAAUGAUGUCCUUUGAAGUGUUUUUUACUUUAUUGUAAUAAAGCAUAUUCAGGACUUUUACUUUGAGAAAAUUAGAGUGUUUCUAGCAGGCCGACGCUUUGAAUACUGCAGCAUGAAAAUAAUAA
rnacentral:rRNA from 1 species